UAAGCAAACAUCCUUCUUAUAUAAAUAUAAAAAUGACCUACCCUGAGCAUCAGCUGCAGAGUUCAUGUGUGUGUGAGAGAGAGAGGGGUCUAUUGAUGUGCAUAAAUCAUGCUCCUUCAGUUUCUGGUGGCUCUUGCAACUGCAGGAUAUGCUACGAGUGCAGUUGAGCUGAAGCAGGAUGCGUUUAAGCAUGUGAAGCCCGGUGAGUCGUUCACCGUUACCUGUGAAGUCUCAGGAUACUCAGUGAGUGACAGCAGCUACACCACCGACUGGAUUCGACAUCCACCAGGAAAACCAAUGGAGUGGAUUGGAGAUUCCUCAGGAAGCUUAAAAGAUUCACUUAAAAGUAAAUUCAGCAUCUCCAAAGAAGAAGACACAAACAAAGUCUCAUUACAGGCACAAAACCUGCAAACUGAAGACACAGCGUUAUACUACUGUGCCCGGUACAGAGACACAGUUAGACAAUGCAGCAUCCUCCUCCCACAAAAACAUGCAGACUAUGGGCGGAGUAACUGUGCGCCAUCUGCUCUGUUGAACAAUAGACAAUUCUAA